AUAUAAUUAUAUUAAAGUUUGUAUCAGGGAAGUUUACCACUCAACUGCUGAUUCUCAAUACUGCCUGACAUCACUGUUCAGCAGUCUGUCCACACAUAUCCCACCCUGGGAUCUUACCCUGGGUUAAUCCAGACUUAGGUACCACUGAAUCGCUGUUAGUGGUUUACUGUGAGGGAAGCUGCUGAUGUGAUAGAAAUAUAUUUUAUAUGUGUGGUUUUAAAUCCAGUCUGUAAGCAGAUAUCUUGUUAUAGACGUUGCUAAGCAACAGACAUGGGUUUAGGUGAAGGUCAAGGUGAAGGUCAAGGUGAAGGAAAAGGAAAAGGCGAUUUAUGUCCUGGAAUACUGUGGGGAAUCGUAUGGUUUCUCAUCCUGUGGUUCCUGGGAUGGCCUAUAGCAUUUUUUGUAGCUUGGUUGUAUAUACUCCUGCUACCAUUUUCGGCCUGCAUUGAGCCACUGAAGGGAGUUUGUGAGGCAUUGCUCAAGGUUGUAAAUCUGCCUCUGACAUGCGCGGAGAAUAUGAUCGCCAUGAAGCCCCUGUGUGGUGGAUAGAUAACUUUCAAGGAUUUUAGGUGUUCUAGUGACGAUAUAGUAAUUAUUACAUGUUUAUAAAUCACGAAUUACAAAAAUUCAAAACACUGAUGUUGUCUCCCAACACAGAAAAUCUUUAUGAACAACUUCGGUUUAUCUCGGAUGAUAUUCAAACUGACCUGAUCUGCUCAUUCAAUGUGUUUCAGAAACCAACAUAUUAUAAAUAGUCAAAAAUAUUUCUUAUUCAGUUAAUUAUCCAUACAUGGAAGGUAUGAACUUCUCAGUUUGAUCAAUAACUUAGCAUCCAAACAAAUGAUAAGACUUGUGCCAUCAGUUAUAUUUGUACAGUGAACUUCAGUGUUACUUUACUGUAUAAUGAUAAUAUUACCGAUCUGCUGUCUACUUUAAAUAUGUGGCUUCAUUUUUCAUAACAAUUCUCAAUAAUUUCCUAAGUAUUCCUGUUGUCAAUUUUGGCCAUUUUGAGACAAACUGAAGUGAGAUUGUGAGGCUUCACUUUAAUCUGCUACUGACGUGCAUGGAGAAUAUGAUCACCAUGAAGCCCCUGUGUGACAGAUAAAUAAGACAAAAUCCAAUGUUGAGGAUUUCCAUAAGAACGCAUAGAGUUAAAGAAAGUCUGGAAUUUCUGAACAUCUAUAUCAUUCUUUUCUGGAAAAUCUUAAGCUAUGUGGAGUUUUCUUCAAUUUCAAACUUUUUCAAAUCUGAGAGCAGAAAUAAUUUAUUCAAGUCUGUUAUUUAUUUAUUUAUUUACAACAAGAAAUAAGAUAUUAUUUGUGUCUAAACACAUACUUGAUUUCAGUUUGAGAUAAAACGUUAUACUACAGUAACCUUAUACUGUUAAAACUGUACAUCAUACAACAUGUAAUAAGUUGCGCCAUGUUGAGAUGAUGACUAAAUUUCUCAACCACUUAAGGAUGUAUAUAUGAUCCUAUCAAAGGCCAGUCAAUGACGAAACAUAUCCUGAAUAAAUAUCAAAACAUCAGGAUUGCUCAGGAUUAUUGCUCAUCCCUACCGAACUACAAAACUUCUAUACACAACGACCGUAACAGCAUGAUGGAGAAAGAGAAAGCUACCUCCACAACUAUACAAAACAGGCACUAUAGAUUAAUUCAAAACAUCAUACACAAAAUAUUUACACUUCAUGAAAACCUCUGUAUCUAUUCCUUACGAAGGACAAGCUCUGAAACUAGUCGUUUAAGAUAUUAGCAAAAUCACUGAAUUUUGUACAAAGGAUUUAUUACAGGGGUUUACAGGAACACACAUCUCCCCUAAAAGAGCUGUAUUAUUAUAAUUACCCGGUAGUGAUAUUUUUCAGAAAAUAAAUUAUUUAUGAUAAGAA